rnacentral:rRNA from 1 species
ACGGAAGGCAGCAGUGAGGAAUAUUGGUCAAUGGGCGAGAGCCUGAACCAGCCAAGUAGCGUGCAGGAAGACGGCCCUAUGGGUUGUAAACUGCUUUUGUGCGGGAAUAACGUUGUGCUCGUGAGCGCAAGUGCAUGUACCGUACGAAUAAGGAUCGGCUAACUCCGUGCCAGCAGCCGCGGUAAUACGGAGGAUCCGAGCGUUAUCCGGAUUUAUUGGGUUUAAAGGGAGCGUAGGCGGAAGAUCAAGUCAGCUGUGAAAUGUAGAUGCUCAACAUCUGCACUGCAGUUGAAACUGGUUUUCUUGAGUGCGUAAGAGGCAGGCGGAAUUCGUCGUGUAGCGGUGAAAUGCUUAGAUAUGUCACAGAACACCGAUCGAGAAGUCAGGUCACGAGCUCGCAACUGACGCUCAGGCACGAAAGCGUGGGGAUCAAACAGGAUUAGAUACCCUGGUA